rnacentral:rRNA from 1 species
UACAUGGGGUGCAAACGUUGCUCGGAAUCAUUGGGCGUAAAGCGCGCGUAGGCGGUUAUUUAAGUUGGAUGUGAAAGCCCUCGGCUUAACUGAGGAAGUGCAUCCAAAACUGAAUAGCUAGAGUACGAAAGAGGGUCGCGGAAUUCCCGGUGUAGAGGUGAAAUUCGUAGAUAUCGGGAGGAACACCGGUGGCGAAGGCGGCGACCUGGGUCGAGACUGACGCUGAGGCGCGAAAGCGUGGGGAGCAAACAGG